UAAAAAUAGAGUUCAAUUCCCGGGAGGAUAGAAAAGGUAUUGCUUUGGUACUCCAUAAUGGCCGCUGUGACGUCACGUGAAAAUGCUCUAUCGAUUUUAGCAACAUUUUAGUUUCAACCGUCCAUCUAUGUACUGUUUAAAAAACGAGCAGGAGUGUUUUAUCGGGYAUAAAACACGAGGCGUAGCCGAGUGGUUUUAGAUCCGAUAAGACACGAUCUGCGAGUUUAUUAAACGGCUUAGAAAACUGAUGAUGUAUGUUUUCAUAUUGUACAGAAUACUUUACGAAAUGAACCAAGUUUGAUAGAGAAAAUCCAAGUUAAAGUUUAUGCAAAUGAAGACGAAUCUAUAUCAGAUAUAAAAUCACCUUCACGGUCAUGAUUCCUAUUGYGUUUCCUUCAUGAAUUAUUAAUGAGUUUUCUAACAUUAAUACCAUCCACCCGAUAUCUUAUUUUCAAUUCCCUCCCAGGCCAUACAAUCAAAUCCUWUUCUAUCGCAUCCUAUACUAUCCCUUCAUAUCUUAUUCSAUAAUCUACAACAUCUGGACAAUCUGGACAGCCAAACACAUUUGAAUGCUUCUCUGAAUGUUUCCGAUCUCCUACGUCCUUCCCUCUAUCAACCAAUCAAAAUGAGYAAAUUUGCUUAUUUAUUUAUGGAAUUGAAUGACUUUUGUUUUCAUUUCAGCCCCAGGUACGCCCGCGGUAGAUCUUAGCGUCCUGACAAAAAAGAAAGGAGAAAUUUUGUUAACAUGGCUUAAAUAUCAUUUUUCUUGAGUAUAGUGCAGUGGUUGUUAGAAUAAAAUAUGAGGAAGAUCCGAUAUUAUUAUUAUUAUUAUUAUUAUUAUUAUUAUUAUUAUUAUUAUAUAAAUUAUAUAAAUUAUCUUAACACACUGAUUUGGCCAAAAUAAAAAAAAAUGAGAGUAAAAACCUAAAGAAAAUUUCAUGGCUCAAAAUGUUGAUUUUUGAUUUUUAUUCAAUCAUUUUCUUAGCUUCUGAUCUAUUUAUUAUUCAUUCAAUCAUAGGGUAAAUUUCUGGGAGGCAUCCAGAGAAGAACACAGUUUGUAAUUGUAACUUUUUGCUGUUGGUUUGGCAUUAAACGUGGCUUUCUUGGUUCUUAUUGUCCUGGUUGUAGUGCACAACAGAAAACUGAAGACAAAAACGAACAUAAAUCCAAACAAUUCAGAAGAAGACUGCCAUUGGUCCCUUUACCUGCUCACGCAGGCUCCACAUACGAGUAGGUUGACUUACAUGGUGCAGUAGAUCCAUCAGAUGUGCAAACUGAAGUUACUGGUCCACAACCCAAAGCAACUGCUGAUGUUGGUGGAACAUAAUAUGUUUCGAUUAAUGAAGGAACAAUAAAGGAAAUCCAAUCCUAAAUAUAUCAAGCUAUUCAUCCAGAAAUGCACCGAAUGGCGAACCGCAAAAUACCAAAGAUUUCUUGGUACGGCCUGCGUAUCACCCCCUGGUGUCUCUCACUAAACCGAUUUUAAACGAAAGCCUUCUUACUUAAACUUUUCACAAAAAACUCAGCAUUAACUACAUCAUUGUUUCACGCUCGUAUUCUCAUAUUCCAAGUUUGAGGAGAAAGCUGUGUUGAGUGGACAUUGCAGUACAUUAUGGAACUCUUUGUAGGGGAAGACAUAGACGCCAUGUUGGUAAUAUUUCAGUUUUCAUAACACAAUACCAUAAUGGACUGUAAUGCCAAAUAGACCCAGUUUUCUUCUCAAUCUAAAAAUGCUCAAUACAUUGCCACGUGAUCCUGUUUUGACAGCCCAUCAAAAACCAGCCAAUCAGUCCCUYGAAAAAAAAAAAAGGCGACCGAAGUCAGAACUAAAAAUUACUCGUAUAUGCGUCUUUGCUUCCCUAGCUUCGUUAUGGACUAGUAUAAAUUCAAUAUUCUACCUAUUCUUAUAACGAAUACCUGUGGGUCUAAUGGUGCGUUGUGGUUUCAAUUCUUUUAUGAAAUUAUCGUGAAAUGAUAGCUCUUUGUUUGCUGAUGAACAGCUGAAAAUAGGACCGCCUGAUCAACUACAACAAUCCUUUGCGCGCGUUCCGUCACUAGUUAUUUAGGAGGUAUGCAAUUAACUAAAUUUGGCGAAUUUUGUUUGCUUUUAGAUUCAUUAAGGUAAUCUUAGACAAUGCAACUAAUAACUUUAAAGAACGUUUCUAUUACUUGUAACGAAAUAGAAAAAAGUAUGAGUGAAGUCAUUAAACCYGGGAAAUAGAUAUUACAAAAA